AAGAGCACAGGCAGAAAGAUAGGAGCUACAGUGGAUAUGCUGUUAAACACUUAAACUGUUUGAUAAAUUAAAAAAAAUCUUCUUAAACUUAAAAAUAAACUAUUUGAUUACAUAUCAUUAUCUUUACAACUUGUUUGUACCAACAGCAUUCUGAUUGUAGCAGUUUGAGCGUUUUUGUCUGGUUUUUCCCCUCGCUUUUUCUGUUGACUGUUGCUAUGGUUUCCCUUCCUCACUUCUGCCGGGCGUUGAGGUGAGCCGGUAUAAAGCGGUAGUCCGCCCACCGGGUCUUCCUCUGCCCUCCCAUCGUCACCCGUGCUACUUCCGGGUCACAGGUCGUGAGUCCGACAGGACGACAGUUUGUGUGCUGCUCCGUGUGUGCUGCUGUGGUCGUUGGCCGGUGGUGAAUGCUGGCGGCUGGAGUCCAAUCCUUCCUCCUCGUGAGUGUGUGUGUUCUGAGAAGGUGUUGUAACCACCUCAUUGGACCGCUGCUGCUUUGUUUGGUGUUAUUUUGUGCUGCUUUGGUGUUGUUUUGUGCUGUUUUCACUGUAUUGCCUACGGCAUUGUUCUGCGGCUUCACGACUUCCAAGAUACACACUGUGCAUUAUUAUUAUUGUUAGGCCGUACACCGCGGUCCUAUGCAUAACCUUUUUUUUU